AAAGAAAUUAAAAAUCCUACACAUAAAUGUCUUACUUUUAAAAUUAAAGGUUGGGUCUCAGCCAUACUCUAAAAACUAGAAUACUUGGGUCUAUGAAAGGAAAAUAAAAACUAGAACUCACUGACAAAAUAGUGAUAAAGUUGCAAUGCCCUUUUGGUAACUCAAGACCAAAAAUCAAAUGAGGCUAGAAUCAGGAAGAAAAUAGGGAAGUGACUGUAUAACAAAGUACCUGAACUUCUGCUUAAGAAAAAGGACAUAAUCAGGCAAAAAGCUAUGCAUGUGAAGAAUGGGAAAGUAAUAUGGCAGGAAUGGAAAUGGCUAUUAGCAAAGGAAGGUGGCAUUGUGGGUGAUAGUUUUCUGUUUUGCAAAUUUCUCUUUAACGAUGUUGUUACACUGGGUUUUCAUUUUUUUAAAAAAGGACAAAAAAAAAAAAAAAAAGCCUAACAGUACAGGAAAACACACCGUGGGAACAGAGUCAAGCACACAGAUGUUUUGCGUAAGCUGCAUUUUCAGAGACAUCUGCCUUUGUGCAAGACUUGAAAAAGUAAAGCUGUUGUCAACAAGUUCUCCAAAGUGAGGGGUGGGGCCUGAGAGAAAGUGAGCUGUGAAGAAACCAACAAUUAGAACCCUGAGGGCUGAGAAACACAUAGUUUCUUAGACUAAGUUCCUCAUUUAUGAGCCACCUCUCUGCCCAAAAUGCUUUGCCAUCAGCAAUGUCUCCUACUGAAACAAAGAGGACUCAAGCUGCCCAUGUCUCUACUCAAGUGACUGAGGUUCUCUGUUAGCAGUGCCACUCAGCUCUUUGCAGUGGUUGCCUAACUCUGUGGUAGGAGAGAUAAGGCAGAGUCUCCUAUGUAAAAAUCUGAGCGGGAAGCAAGAUGCCCCACUCCUCCUUUCUUGUUCCAACUCCAAAUAAAAACACUUAUUAUGUAUGAAAAAAUUCAUGUAAAAGCAAAGACAAUAAAUACGUUCAUCUGUU